CUUCCCGACCCAGGAAUUGAACUGGGGUCUCCUGCAUUGUAGGUGGAUUCUUGACUAACUGAGCUAUCAGGAAAGCCCUAAAGUCUGAGACUGCAGUCAAAUGUUAGUCCCUCUUGAGGGUCUGAGUUAAUUAGCCUAGUCCCUGGGAUGACCUGAAUGCAAAGGAAAGACUCCUGUGGAAUAAACCAGUGAGAUUAUCCGAAGGCUCAGCUUCAGUACCAUAAAGACACUCUCCAACAUGGCAGCCACUUGCCACAUAUGGAGAUUCUAGUUUAAAUGGUGAACAAUUAAGAUUAAAUAAAACUUAAAAUUCAGAUCCUCAGCUACAUCAUCCACUUCUGAAGUUCUUUCCCUCACCAUAGAAAAUUCUAUCGGACAGCACUGUCUCAGAGGAUAUUUGCACAAGAGAGAGCCAAGUGGGUACUCCAAAGAAAAGCAUCAGUCCCUAAUAGCAGAACUGAUUUUGCCAUCAAGUAUCCAGAUUCACCCUGGUUUCACCUCAGCAUUUGGGAGAAUGGCUGGUGGGCUCCCACCAAGGGUAAUGGUCAGUUUUUGAAAGACCUCAAAAAUCACUCCUUCCCCCUUUGGCUAGAGGGAGAGGAUGCAAGAAGGGGCUGUAAUCAUAGGUCAUUAGACUGACCUGAGCUAGAGGGGAAUAAGACACUGUCUUAUGGCUACUCCCCGACAUGGCUGGUACCUGUGACAAAGCAAAGCAAGGUAAUUCUCCACUGCAAAAUGUGCACUGCUUAAUAACACCAGCCCAUUUCAGCAAGUCUCACUCAUAUAAAUUGAAAAGUAGCAUGUUUGUUUUUUUUUU
rnacentral:lncRNA from 1 species